rfam:Aedes aegypti strain Liverpool supercont1.818 genomic scaffold, whole genome shotgun sequence.
AUACUUACCUGGCACAGGGUUUACCACGAUCAGGAAGGUGGUUACCCCGGGGCGAGACCUUGCCAUUGCACCUACGGUCAGAGUUGACCCCUGCGAGUGUCCCUCAUGUGGAUGAUUCGUGUGUGCAAUUUUUGAUAGCCGGGAUGUGCGUGCGCGCUCAUCCCGA